UGGAGAGUUUGAUCCUGGCUCAGGACGAACGCUGGCGGCGUGCUUAACACAUGYAAGUCGAGCGGACCUUCGGGUCAGCGGCGAACGGGUGAGUAACACGUGGGCAACCUGCCCCAGGCUCUGGAAUAACUCCGGGAAACCGGGGCUAAUGCCGGAUAUUCACAGUACCGGGCAUCUGGUGGUGUGGAAAGAUUUAUUGGCUUGGGAUGGGCCCGCGGCCUAUCAGCUUGUUGGUGGGGUAAUGGCCUACCAAGGCGACGACGGGUAGCCGGCCUGAGAGGGCGAUCGGCCACACUGGGACUGAGACACGGCCCAGACUCCUACGGGAGGCAGCAG
rnacentral:rRNA from 1 species